CUAUCACAGGGACUAAGCACCCUUCAGACUCUGCAGGUCCUGAAAAGUACAUCAAAUGUCGCUAGGAACCUAUACCGUCCUACCUCCACAAUUUACUCCGAAGUGACAGUUGGAGACGACCAGUGUGAGAAGCUAAAGCCAUCAGUAUGGGACUCAUCGAAACCAUCCGGAAGAGCUAAAGAAGUCAGACCUUACGAUCGGCAUGCUGGUCCCCGGGGUUACAAGGGUGUUAGGGACGUGGGGAAAUAUAAAGUUGAUGAGUGCAGAUUCUCAAAACUUUAGCUAAGGAUUUAACAAUGUGGAGGGGAUUAUUCUUUUAAUGUUGUGUAUUGUAUAAGACUCUAUGUAUACAACUGCUGGUAUACAACUGGUAUACAACUGCUGACGGUAAUCAAGAAACAAUGUUUCCGUGUUUUAUAAAAAUUUCGUCGGAGAGUUUAUAAUUAAUUACAAGAUCGUGAUCAUUUGUUCACUUCUGUCACACAGAGAAAACAAACAGCGCUCUUAUUUCACAGUAUACACUCACGGCUCACGCCGGGUGUAUUAUGUGGUCCCCCAGUUAACUAGAGUUUUUAAGAAAGUGUUGUUUACCACAUACAUAUUUACCGAUACAUUGAAUUCCUUCCAAGGAAAUCAAAACACCGCCUUUAUGUCUCGGCAACCUUCAUGAUAAGUACAAUACACUUCGUAAUAACUACAUUUUACUCGUUAUAUUACAGUUAUAUAAUGUAGUUUAUUUUUAUUAUCUCACAGUAAUUAACUGUGUGCCAUUGUUA